GUUCAAGAGAAAAAGAAAAAGAAAAGAACGAGAAUUAUAUAAGGUCAAGGGAACAAAGAAAAAGAAAAACAAGUUUAUCAUAUAAAAAAUCCAGGUAAGAGUUCAAGCAUAAUUGAAUAUAAAAAGAGGGGGAUCUUCUUCACUCACUCUCACUCACUGCCAUCUAUUUGCCACUUAGAAAAUAUUUCUUUAUUUCCAUUGAUGCUGCCAAGAGUACCUCGAUCUGGCAGCAUAUGUGACUCAACACAUCUUGUGAUAAGCAAGAUCUCUCUCUCU
rnacentral:misc_RNA from 1 species